rnacentral:rRNA from 1 species
GAUGAACGCUGGCGGCGUGCCUAAUACAUGCAAGUCGAGCGAACAGACGAGGAGCUUGCUCCUCUGACGUUAGCGGCGGACGGGUGAGUGACAUGUGGAUAACCUAGCUAUAAGGCGGGGAUAACUUCGGGAAACCGGAGGUAAUACCGGAUAAUAGAUUGAACCGCAUGGUGCAGUAGUUAAAGACGGUUUUGCUGUCACUUAGAGAUGGAUCCGCGCCGCAUUAGCUAGUUGGUAAGGUAACGGCUUACCAAGGCGACGAUGCGUAGCCGACCUGAGAGGGUGAUCAGCCACACUGGAACUGAGACACGGUCCAGACUCCUACGGGAGGCAGCAGUAGGGAAUAUUCCGCAAUGGGCGCAAGCCUGACGCAGCCACGCCGCGUGUAUGAUGAAGGUCUUCGGAUCGUAAAGCUCUUUUAUCAGGGAAGAAGAAAUGUGUAAGAAUCCCUGCGCGUAUUGACGGUACCCGCUGAGAAAGCCCCGGCUAACUACGUG